UAUAAACCAUGUAUUUUUUAGGUGAUGGUGAGGACGGAUUAACAGCAGUCAACUUUUUUCAAAAAGUAAUGACUGAUACAAGAACACUCAUUUUGUGGCCAACUAGACUGAAAAUUGGAGCAAAAU